AAAAACAGACUAAGCAUGUAGCGGCUUAAGAGUAGUACUUUCGGACGCGGGUUCGAUUCCCGCCGCCUCCACCA
rnacentral:tmRNA from 1 species